rnacentral:lncRNA from 1 species
AGACGCCCGCCCCGCCUGAGACUUCCUUCUGUCCCCGACUCUGCGGUUUUCUUUUGUCUGUCUAUUUCUGCACUUGACAAUUUCUUCGGGAACUAACUUGAAUCUACUUCUCUUUUGUCUGUUAUAUUCUCAAUCUCUCUCUCUCUCUCUCUCUCUCUCUCUCUCUCUCUCUCUCUCUCUCACACACACACACACACACACACACACACACACACACACACACACACACACACGUCUUCUCCCUCCUGGGCAUCUCUGAGUCUUCCUGCUGGCUCUGGCCUGUCCUUGGCACCUCCCCACCAUCUAUUGAUCCGAUGGCGCCCAAGGCGGUGUAGGCUGGUGAGACGGCUCCAGGGAAGGAGGCUCCGGGAUGAUCCACGCGGCCGCGCCCCGCACCCACCGGCGGCGCCACGGAGACGCGGGAUGCUCCAGGUCCUCAGAGCGCCGUCGGCGCCACCUCUACAGACACGCACUGUUCACGAGGCCUCAAAGGGUGGAGGCGGUGGCCCGGGGCCCGACUCUCAGGUGGCCGCUACUUUGGUCCCAAGACACCUCAGGAUCCCGCAACCUAUGGAGACUCUCGGAGGACGGCGCGGUCCCCAGAGAGGGCGCCAAAGGCGACGCGCUGGCGGCCAGCUCCAAGCCAACCAGACCCAUUGCGUCCGUCCGUCCGCAGGAACCUGUCUCUUCAUCCCCCUGCCUUGGACGCAGAGCUUCCGAGAGGAUCUGGCUGCGUGCGGAUUCAACGCCAGGGCGCCGCCUAGAGGUCGGUCGCGUCCUUGGUCUCGCUCACUGACAACAGAGCAGCAGCUCGUCCAAGUCACAGUGUCAGACUUACAAAACAAAACAAAAUUCCUCCUCGCAAGGGUCAGGGACUUGGCUUCUGUGACCGUUGACUUAUCAGAUAACUGCCUCCUCUCUGCUUUAUAAUGAACCACAGGAAGAGAGAGAGAGAGACCAGGGAUUUCAAAGAAAUAUUUGUCCUUGUGACUCUGACUACUACGUGGAACAAGAGUCUCAACAUGCCAGCUUCUUUUAAUGAUAUUAGAUUCUGUGUCUAUGUCUGCACUGCUUCGUCUCCCCACCCAGAUUGCUAAGCCUUACCUCGUUCUCCCGUUCGUGCCAAGAAUAUGCUUUAACUUCAAGAAGAAAGGGGGGGAUAUAGAAAAGUUAUCCUUUUCUCUUAUAGCUUGGUUAUAGGAUUUCUAAAUAAUUUGGAGAUGGACAUGUUUUGGGAAAGAAUUUGGAAAACAUCUGGGGGGUGGUGGUGAUAGAAAAACUUGCCCAAUUAGUCUUUACUUACUGAGUAACCCCCUGGUGUCCCAUCAAUAGUCAAGGGGGUACUUGAAGACACCAGUAGUCCUGCCCAGAGUAGUCUGUGCUGAGCACUUGAAAGAUGAUUUUUUGAGAUAGGGAUGAGCUUGGAAGGAAACAGUUGGGCACCUGACAAACAGGUUUGAGGUGUCCUUAAAGUCCACGCAGGCUUCUUUUUGAGACUGAGAUCAGUAGCCUGAGUCCUGGAGCUUGAGAGUAGGGAAAGCUGCAGAACCUCCGAAAAUGCAGGAGAAUGUGGAGGCAGCCAAGUUUGCUGAGCUAAAGAUGCUGUAGCCUUUUCCGGUUCUCAAAGCAAGCGCCCCUCUCUCCAGUCAUGGAGCUACCAAAACCAGCCCAGCAGUGGGCUGGGAGCCAGCACACUGAUCCUGAGCCAUUAGCUGUCCCUGACCAGGCAGCUCUAUUGGAGAUAGAAAAAUAAUAAUUCUGAGUAGCUGAGGACCAUUGGCCGCUCUGUUCUUCCUCCUCCCUCUCCUCUGUCUUCUAGAGGGAAAUGCUAAUAGAAGGUGACACAGCUGUCUGUCGCCAAAGUGUUUUCAAUAGAAGUGGAGAAUGAUGAGGACCAGAAGAAGGGAGCACAUAGUAGGGUUACAUGACAGGCAGAGCUGGAGGGGCUUCCUCGUGUCAUUCCAGAAAAGAAAUAUUCCAGAAAGUACUUCCUGUCCCAGGUGCUUUUCCCUCGGAGUGCCAGGGAGCUCCCACAGGGUGGACCACCACACUACUGCUCACCCCUCGCCAAUCAUCCGGCAGAACGGGGCUGCCAACUCACCCCCCCCUUUUCUUUUUAAUGACUGGAGACAGCUUAGUAUUUUCUGAGGCCAUUAAAAAAAAUCUAUAUUUUUUUUUUAAUCUCCAGAGGAGGGAGCCUUGGCAGCAUUUCCUGGCGGGAAGGAUGCGUUGGCUACGUUAGGGCUGCACCUGUGUGUCUGAGGGACAGGGUACCUCUCCUGGGCCUGCAGCUGAGCCUCAGCCCAGUACCUGAGCUGAGCCAGAGAUUUUCUCAGCUUUUCGAGUGUAUUUUAGACCUGAAGCUUUGGUGUGUUUGCUAAUGAAUAGUUGGGGUCCAUGGAAUCCCUUUGCUGUCCCCCUAAAUCACCUAAACAUGUACUUCGAGUACACAAAGAGCCUAAGAAGUCACUACCAUGGCUUCCGGUUCACUGGAGUCCCCGGAGAAAGGGAUUAUUUUUUUUUUCUUUUAGUUUUGCUGCAGUGCCCUGGUAGAACAAAUCCGGAUUCCACGAAAUUGUAGAAGGAAAAAA